GGCGCAGGCGAUCUUCUGUGGUGGGCACACAGAUGAGGCCGCGGCCAUGCUUGGCCAUGAAAUUGAUCGCCUUAGGUGUGGUGUGUUCGGCGGCCAUGAUCA
rnacentral:antisense_RNA from 1 species